rnacentral:rRNA from 1 species
ACGCACGCUGGCGGCGUGCUUCACACAUGCAAGUCGUACGGUAAGGCCCUUUCGGGGGUCCACGAGUGGCGAACGGGUGAGUAACACGUGAGUAACCUGCCCACAACUUUGGGAUAACGCUAGGAAACUGGUGCUAAUACUGGAUAUGUGCUCCUGCUGCAUGGUGGGGGUUGGAAAGCUCCGGCGGUUGUGGAUGGACUCGCGGCCUAUCAGCUUGUUGGUGGGGUAGUGGCCUACCAAGGCGGCGACGGGUAGCCGGCCUGAGAGGGUGACCGGCCACAGUGGGACUGAGAUACGGCCCAGACUCCUACGGGAGGCAGCAGUGGGGAAUAUUGCACAAUGGGCGCAAGCCGGAUGCAGCAACGCCGCGGGCGGGAGGACGGCCUUCGGGUUGUAAACCGCUUUCAGCAGGGACGAAGCUUUUUGUGACGGUACCUGCAGAAGAAGCACCGGCUAACUACGUG